UACUCCUACGGGAGGCAGCAGUGGGGAAUAUUGCGCAAUGGGGGGAACCCUGACGCAGCCAUGCCGCGUGAAUGAAGAAGGCCUUCGGGUUGUAAAGUUCUUUCGGUAUUGAGGAAGGUUGAUGUGUUAAUGGCACAUCAAAUUGACGUUAAAUACAGAAGAAGCACCGGCUAACUCCGUGCCAGCAGCCGCGGUAAUACGGAGGGUGCGAGCGUUAAUCGGAAUAACUGGGCGUAAAGGGCACGCAGGCGGUUAUUUAAGUGAGGUGUGAAAGCCCCGGGCUUAACCUGGGAAUUGCAUUUCAGACUGGGUAACUAGAGUACUUUAGGGAGGGGUAGAAUUCCACGUGUAGCGGUGAAAUGCGUAGAGAUGUGGAGGAAUACCGAAGGCGAAGGCAGCCCCUUGGGAAUGUACUGACGCUCAUGUGCGAAAGCGUGGGGAGCAAACAGGAUUAGAUACCCUGGUAGUCCACGCUGUAAACGCUGUCGAUUUGGGGGUUGGGGUUUAACUCUGGCGCCCGUAGCUAACGUGAUAAAUCGACCGCCUGGGGAGUACGGCCGCAAGGUUAAAACUCAAAUGAAUUGACGGA
rnacentral:rRNA from 1 species